UGUGGGAGCUGGCUUGCCAGCGAUAGCGUUUUGUCAGGCACACAUGCAUCGACUGAUCUGACGCCAUCGCUGGCAAGCCAGCUCCCACA
rnacentral:misc_RNA from 1 species